AUGGGCGACGGGCGACGCAGCGGCAGCGACGACGUGGGAGUAGGAGGGCCGCCCCCCACGCCGCCACCGCAGCCGCCGACGGCGCGGGCGACAGAUCCAUGGCGGCGGCCUCCUCGCUCUCCCGUCACGCUCCCUAUCGGCGCCGUCCGCCUCCGCCUCGUCCUCCUGCGCCCGCCCGCCCUCCCACUCCGCCGGUCUCCGUCGCCUCUCCACCCGCUGCCGUGGAUGACGACGGCGGUCUCCUCGCUCUCCCCAUCGCAGCUCCUGUUCCUCCGUGCUCUACGAGGACAGCGCCUCGGGCGCCAGCGACGAGGCCCCCGCCCCGCGUUGCUCGCUGCUGCCGUUCGAUCUGAACCUGCCGGCCUCGUCCCCGAAGGAGCCGCCGCCGCACCAGAGGGGCGGCCAGAGCAAGCGGAGCGGCGGCGUCGGCGGGCAAGCGCGGUGGCCGAGAAGCGGCGGCGGAUAGGGAGCGGCGGCGCCGACGACUCCACGCCACUCGCCCUCAUCGUCGGCGGCGGCUCCGGGCGCGGGCGGAGCAGAGAGGCGUCCUCUCAGCUGUGCUCCUCCCUCGUCGGCCGCCGACCGUCGCGCCGGCCCUCCUCUCCGCCGCGCUCCCUC
rnacentral:lncRNA from 1 species